UGGUGGAGUGAUUUGUCUGGUUAAUUCCGUUAACGAACGAGACCUCGACCUACUAACUAGUUUACUAAACUCUUGGGUUUACGUAAGCUUCUUAGAGGGACUAUCGGUGCGUAGCCGAUGGAAGCUCGAGGCAAUAACA
rnacentral:rRNA from 1 species